GAUGAACGCUGGCGGCGUGCCUAAUACAUGCAAGUCGAGCGAACAGACGAGGAUCUUGCUCCUCUCUCGUUAGCGGCGGACGUGUGAGUCACACGUGUAUAACCUCCCUAUAAUACUGGUAUCUCUUCGGGACACCGGCGCUAAUCCCGGAUAAUCUAUUGAUCCGCAUGGUUCGUUAGUGAAAUACGGUUUUUCUGUCACUUAUAGCUGGUUCCGCGCCGCAUUGGCUAGUUGGUAAGUUAACGGCUUACCAAGGCUACGAUGCGUAGACGAACUGAGAGGGGGAUCGGCCACACUGGAGGGGAGACAGGGUCAAGACGACUAAGAGAGGCAGCAGAAGGGAAUGUGACGCAAUGGGCGAGAGCAUGACGGAGCAAGGCGGCGUGAGUGAUGAAGGUGUUCGGAUCGUAAAAAUCUGUUAUGAGGGAAGAACAAAUGUGGAAGUAACUAUGCACGUAGUGACGGUACCGAAUCAGAAAGACACGGCUAACUACGUG
rnacentral:rRNA from 1 species